CCCCUCUACGACGAGAGAAUGAGAGCUGAAAACUGGUACAAACAGCUGUUUUUACACACUUCCUCUUGCUGAUUUUGAGUGAUUUUUAUGAAUGCUCUGAUUUAAGCAAAUAAUGUUUUGGU